GAGUGGCGGACGGGUGAGUAAUGUCUGGGAAACUGCCUGAUGGAGGGGGAUAACUACUGGAAACGGUAGCUAAUACCGCAUAACGUCGCAAGACCAAAGAGGGGGACCUUCGGGCCUCUUGCCAUCGGAUGUGCCCAGAUGGGAUUAGCUUGUUGGUGGGGUAACGGCUCACCAAGGCGACGAUCCCUAGCUGGUCUGAGAGGAUGACCAGCCACACUGGAACUGAGACACGGUCCAGACUCCUACGGGAGGCAGCAGUGGGGAAUAUUGCACAAUGGGCGCAAGCCUGAUGCAGCCAUGCCGCGUGUAUGAAGAAGGCCUUCGGGUUGUAAAGUACUUUCAGCGGGGAGGAAGGGAGUAAAGUUAAUACCUUUGCUCAUUGACGUUACCCGCAGAAGAAGCACCGGCUAACUCCGUGCCAGCAGCCGCGGUAAUACGGAGGGUGCAAGCGUUAAUCGGAAUUACUGGGCGUAAAGCGCACGCAGGCGGUUUGUUAAGUCAGAUGUGAAAUCCCCGGGCUCAACCUGGGAACUGCAUCUGAUACUGGCAAGCUUGAGUCUCGUAGAGGGGGGUAGAAUUCCAGGUGUAGCGGUGAAAUGCGUAGAGAUCUGGAGGAAUACCGGUGGCGAAGGCGGCCCCCUGGACGAAGACUGACGCUCAGGUGCGAAAGCGUGGGGAGCAAACAGGAUU
rnacentral:rRNA from 1 species